rnacentral:rRNA from 1 species
CCUACGGGAGACAGCAGUGAGGAAUAUUGGUCAAUGGACGAGAGUCUGAACCAGCCAAGCAGCGUGAAGGAUGACUGCCCUAUGGGUUGUAAACUUCUUUUGUAAGGGAAUAAAAUCUUCCACGAGUGGGUGUUUGUAUGUACCUUAUGAAUAAGGAUCGGCUAACUCCGUGCCAGCCGCCGCGGUAAUACGGAGGGUGCAAGCGUUACUCCGAAUUAUUGGGGGUAAAGGGCGCGUAGGCGGGAUUGCAAGUCAGAUGUGAAAUCCUGUGGCUUAACCCUAGAACUGCAGUUGAAACUGGUAGUCUAGAGAAGGCGAGAGGUAGGUGGAAUGCUCAGUGUAGCGGUGAAAUGCGUAGAGAUCACGCAGAAUACCGAUUGCGAAGGCGGCAUACUAGCACCUAACUGACGCUGAGGCACGAAAGCGUGGGGAGCAAACAGGAUUAGAUACCCGGGUAGUC